rnacentral:rRNA from 1 species
GAUGAACGCUGGCGGCGUGCCUAAUACAUGCAAGUCGAGCGAACGGACGAGAAGCUUGCUUCUCUGAUGUUAGCGGCGGACGGGUGAGUAACACGUGGAUAACCUACCUAUAAGACUGGGAUAGCUUCGGGAAACCGGAGCUAAUACCGGAUAAUAUUUUGAACCGCAUGGUUCAAAAGUGAAAGACGGUCUUGCUGUCACUUAUAGAUGGAUCCGCGCUGCAUUAGCUAGUUGGUAAGGUAACGGCUUACCAAGGCGACGAUGCAUAGCCGACCUGAGAGGGUGAUCGGCCACACUGGAACUGAGACACGGUCCAGACUCCUACGGGAGGCAGCAGUAGGGAAUCUUCCGCAAUGGGCGAAAGCCUGACGGAGCAACGCCGCGUGAGUGAUGAAGGUCUUCGGAUCGUAAAACUCUGUUAUUAGGGAAGAACAUAUGUGUAAGUAACUGUGCACAUCUUGACGGUACCUAAUCAGAAAGCCACGGCUAACUACGUG